rnacentral:rRNA from 1 species
UACGGAGGAUGCGAGCGUUAUCCGGAUUUAUUGGGUUUAAAGGGUGCGUAGGCGGGUUAUCAAGUCAGCGGUAAAAUCGUGGAGCUCAACUCCAUCCAGCCGUUGAAACUGAUGAUCUUGAGUGGGCGAGAAGUAUGCGGAAUGCGUGGUGUAGCGGUGAAAUGCAUAGAUAUCACGCAGAACUCCGAUUGCGAAGGCAGCAUACCGGCGCCCGACUGACGCUGAAGCACGAAAGCGUGGGGAGCGAACAGG